rnacentral:rRNA from 1 species
ACGGAGGAUGCGAGCGUUAUCCGGAUUUAUUGGGCUUAAAGGGUGCGUAGGCGGGCUAUUAAGUCAGCUGUGAAAGUUUGCGGCUCAACCGUAAAAUUGCAGUUGAUACUGGUAGACUUGAGUAUAGUGGAGGUUGGCGGAAUUCGUGGUGGAGCGGUGAAAUGCUUAGAUAUCACAAAGAACUCCUGUUGCGAAGGCAGCUGACUGUCCUAAAACUGACGCUGAGGCGCGAAAGUGUGGGUAUCAAACAG